rnacentral:rRNA from 1 species
GUUAAGUUAGUGGCGGACGGGUGAGUAACGCGUGGGUAACCUGCCGUAUACCGGGGGAUAACACCUGGAAACAGGUGCUAAUACCGCAUAAGCGCACGGGACCGCAUGGUCCAGUGUGAAAAACCGAGGUGGUAUGCGAUGGACCCGCGUCUGAUUAGCCAGUUGGCAGGGUAACGGCCUACCAAAGCGACGAUCAGUAGCCGGCCUGAGAGGGUGGACGGCCACAUUGGGACUGAGACACGGCCCAAACUCCUACGGGAGGCAGCAG